rnacentral:rRNA from 1 species
GUCGCGUCUGCUGUGAAAUCCCGAGGCUCAACCUCGGGCUUGCAGUGGGUACGGGCAGACUAGAGUGCGGUAGGGGAGAUUGGAAUUCCUGGUGUAGCGGUGGAAUGCGCAGAUAUCAGGAGGAACACCGAUGGCGAAGGCAGAUCUCUGGGCCGUAACUGACGCUGAGGAGCGAAAGCGUGGGGAGCGAACAGGAUUAGAUACCCUGGUAGUCCACGCCGUAAACGUUGGGCGCUAGAUGUAGGGACCUUUCCACGGUUUCUGUGUCGUAGCUAACGCAUUAAGCGCCCCGCCUGGGGAGUACGGCCGCAAGGCUAAAACUCAAAGGAAUUGACGGGGGCCCGCACAAGCGGCGGAGCAUGCGGAUUAAUUCGAUGCAACGCGAAGAACCUUACCAAGGCUUGACAUACACCGGAAACGGCCAGAGAUGGUCGCCCCCUUGUGGUCGGUGUACAGGUGGUGCAUGGUUGUCGUCAGCUCGUGUCGUGAGAUGUUGGGUUAAGUCCCGCAACGAGCGCAACCCUCGUUCUAUGUUGCCAGCGCGUUAUGGCGGGGACUCAUAGGAGACUGCCGGGGUCAACUCGGAGGAAGGUGGGGAUGACGUCAAAUCAUCAUGCCCCUUAUGUCUUGGGCUUCACGCAUGCUACAAUGGCCGGUACAAAGGGCUGCGAUACCGUAAGGUGGAGCGAAUCCCAAAAAGCCGGUCUCAGUUCGGAUUGAGGUCUGCAACUCGACCUCAUGAAGUCGGAGUCGCUAGUAAUCGCAGAUCAGCAACGCUGCGGUGAAUACGUUCCCGGGCCUUGUACACACCGC